UCAAGAAACUUCCACAAUGGGCGAAAGCCUGAUGGAGCGACGUCGCGUGAUGGACGAAGUGCUUCGGCACGUAAACAUCUUUUAUGUGGGAUGAAAUUAUUGACAGUACCACAUGAAUAAGGGGCUCCUAACUCUGUGCCAGCAGGAGCGGUAAUACAGAGGCCCCAAGCGUUAUCCGGAAUCACUGGGCGUAAAGGGUGUCGAGGCGGUUGUAUUAGUCGUUCGUAAAAUCUACGAGCUUAACUUGUAGGCGGCGAACGAAACGGUACGACUUGAGGUUUGGAGAGGUGCGUGGAACUCACGGUGUAGGGGUGAAAUCCGUUGAUAUCGUGGGGAACACCAAAGGCGAAGGCAGCGCACUGGCCAAAAUCUGACGCUCACACACGAAAGCUAGGGUAGCGAAGAGGAUUAGAUACCC
rnacentral:rRNA from 1 species